UGGACCGAGUGAGCUCUCAGCUGUUC
rnacentral:piRNA from 1 species